rnacentral:rRNA from 1 species
UUCCGGUUGAUCCCGCCGGAGGUUACUGCUAUCGGUGUUCGACUAAGCCAUGCAAGUCAUAUGUUCCUCGUGAACAUGGCAUACUGCUCAGUAACACGUGGAUAACCUGCCCUUGGGUCUGGGAUAACCCCGGGAAACUGGGGAUAAUACCGGAUAACGCAUAUGUGCUGGAAUGCUUUAUGCGUAAAAUGGAUUCGUCCGCCCAAGGAUGGGUCUGCGGCCUAUCAGGUAGUAGUGGGUGUAAUGUACCUACUAGCCAACAACGGGUACGGGUUGUGAGAGCAAGAGCCCGGAGAUGGAUUCUGAGACAUGAAUCCAGGCCCUACGGGGCGCAGCAGGCGCGAAAACUUUACAAUGCGGGAAACCGUGAUAAGGGAACACCGAGUGCCAGCAUCAUAUGCUGGCUGUCCAGAUGUGUAAACUACAUCUGUUAGCAAGGGCCGGGCAAGACCGGUGCCAGCCGCCGCGGUAACACCGGCGGCCCGAGUGGUGACCGUUAUUAUUGGGUCUAAAGGGUCCGUAGCCGGUUUGGUCAGUCCUCCGGGAAAUCUGAUAGCUUAACUGUUAGGCUUUCGGGGGAUACUGCCAGGCUUGGAACCGG